CCGCCGGCGACCGGCGCACGGGUGAGUAACACGUAUGCAACCUGGCCGUGACAGAUGGAUAACCGGGAGAAAUCCCGCCUAAUACAACAUAAUGCCGGGAGGGGGACAUCCCCUGCCGGCCAAAGGGGGCGACCCCGGUCACGGAUGGGCAUGCGGCGCAUUAGGUAGUUGGUGGGGCAACGGCCCACCAAGCCGACGAUGCGUAGGGGUUCUGAGAGGAAGGUCCCCCACAUUGGAACUGAGACACGGUCCAAACUCCUACGGAAGGCAGCAG
rnacentral:rRNA from 1 species